GAUGAACGCUGGCGGCGUGCCUAAUACAUGCCAGUCGAGCGAACGGACGAGAAGCUUGCUUCUCUGAUGUUAGCGGCGGACGGGUGAGUAACACGUGGAUAACCUACCUAUAAGACUGGGAUAACUUCGGGAAACCGGAGCUAAUACCGGAUAAUAUUUUGAACCGCAUGGUUCAAAAGUGAAAGACGGUCUUGCUGUCACUUAUAGAUGGAUCCGCGCUGCAUUAGCUAGUUGGUAAGGUAACGGCUUACCAAGGCAACGAUGCAUAGCCGACCUGAGAGGGUGAUCAGCCACACUGGAACUGAGACACGGUCCAGACUCCUACGGGAGGCAGCAGUAGGGAAUCUUCCGCAAUGGGCGAAAGCCUGACGGAGCAACGCCGCGUGAGUGAUGAAGGUCCUCGGAUCGUAAAACUCUGUUAUUAGGGAGGAACAUAUGUGUAAGUAACUGUGCACAUCUUGACGGUACCUAAUCAGAAAGCCACGGCUAACUACGUG
rnacentral:rRNA from 1 species